AAUCCUCUGUGGUUGGCAAGAUGGACAUAGUUUUAUUUUUAAUUAACGAAAGAUUUGAAAUAUGAAAAUGAGGGAGGGAGAGGUCAUAUAGGUCUGAGCCACGGGUUCGCCGUACUGGUCCGGCAGGGAGUACUGGUGACAUGUUCUCAAGACGUCCCCUCGCCUUCCUGGGCUGCUCCCCACGGCCGAGUCAGGGCUCGUCUCCAGAGGGGUUAGGGGCGAAGAGGACGACAAAACAACAUCGGACCUGCCACGAGCGUCAAAGGAGAGACAAAACGAUCGGAGCGGGCGUUUAAAGCAUUCAUUCAUGAGGGGCAGCAGGGACUUCUGCAGGCAGCAAAAAAAGGGAUGAGAAAUAUAUAUGAAAGGGGCAACAGCAAAGGACUCCAGAUUGACGGCUACUGCGUCUGCGUCAGAAAAAUUAUAGGACCUGUCCCAAGAGCGAAGGGGCGAAGCGGGGAACCCUCAGGAUUGGUCAGCACCAAGUGGCGCUCCUCAAGCUAUUUAUAGUCACUGGUUCACCUGCACUUUGAG